GGACUACCCGGGUUUCUAAUCCCGUUCGCUCCCCCAGCUUUCGCGCCUCAGCGUCAAGUAAAGCCCCAGGAGACCGCCUUCGCCACUGGUGUUCCUACCGAUCUCUACGCAUUUCACCGCUACACCGGUAAUUCCAUCUCCCCCUAGCCACUUCAAGAGAAGCAGUAUCCACCGACCCUCCGAGGUUGAGCCUCGGGCUUUCACAGCGGACUUGCUCCCCCGCCUACGCGCGCUUUACGCCCAGUAACUUCGGACAACGCUCGCCCCCUACGUAUUACCGCGGCGGCUGGCAC
rnacentral:rRNA from 1 species